GGGCGGUUAGCUCAGUUGGUUAGAGCGUCUGCCUUACAAGCAGAAGGUCCCCGGUUCGAGCCCGGGACCGCCCACCA
rnacentral:tRNA from 1 species